UACGAAGGGGGCUAGCGUUGCUCGGAAUUACUGGGCGUAAAGCGUGCGCAGGCGGCCAACUAAGUCGGAUGUGAAAUCCCCAGGCUCAACUUGGGAACUGCAUCCGAUACUGGAUGGCUUGAAUUCGGGAGAGGGAUGCAGAAUUCCAGGUGUAGCGGUGAAAUGCGUAGAUAUCUGGAGGAACACCGGUGGCGAAGGCGGCAUCCUGGACCGGCAUUGACGCUGAGGCGCGAAAGCCAGGGGAGCAAACGGG
rnacentral:rRNA from 1 species